rnacentral:lncRNA from 1 species
CGGAUCUCGCGAUGUUUCAGGGCGGCUUUGGUGUCAUCAAAUGUGAGAAGCCCUGGACUUUACACAUCCCGAGCCAGUGUGAUCCAGUAUGAUUGGGAGUCCGAGUGCCAGAUGCCGGUCAGGACCUGUUAUGCUGGGUCUCAGAAUGCGGAAACUCUCCCUGUCCGAGGUGGAACAGUUUGUCCUUGAGUGAGGACUGGAGUCCUGAGUGACUCUUUUGAUUUGAUCCUGUUUCCCUCAAACCUGAGAUGGGAGCCUCACUGUAUUGCCCAGGCUGGUCUUGAACUCCGGAGCUCAAGUGAUCGUCUUGCUUCAGCCUUGCAAAAUGAUGGUGAAGCUGCAUCAUUGUCUGGGGUAAAUACCUGAGGUUCGUUGUCUCACGCCAAGGGAAUCAAGGACGUGGACACACAAGAAGUGAGUUUAAGAGCGGAGGUUUAAUAGGCGAAAGAGAAAAGAGAAUAGCUCUAGCUCCUGCAGAGAGAAAAGGGCUCCCAAGUAGGACUUCCAGUCCGUGGCGA